rnacentral:lncRNA from 1 species
GGCGGGGUAUCUCCCACAUGACUCGCCGCCCCUGUCUUUCACAUGGGCUGUAAUUUAGUUCAAUUCAGAACUGCAGAUAGUACAGCUUUCGCAGGAGCAAGGGAUGCCUGAGCACAAGUGGCUGAGUUCCGCGUGACUUUAUGAAGCCCUUUCCCACCUCCCUCCUUCAGGAAAACGGGGGAUUCUGCACCUGCGUCAGGGACAGUCUGGCCAAAGCCUCUGCUCUGCCUCCGGGGACGAGGAGCUAGCACAAAUAACCGUUUUGAAAUUGGAUCUUGACAAAAUCUGCAACGAAUCCAUAAAGGAAACUGAAAGCAGUUUGAUCUUCAUCUUCAGUGACAGUCCCACAAAAGUUGAAGAAAUAUGUUAUGUCUCCAAAGAAGAGUACAGUUGUGCCCUAAAAUUCAAACAUGAUUAAGG